AGAGAAAAAUAAAGAUAAUCCAAUUUAGUGGCGAGUCAUUGUAGUUCCCCUCCGCACCCGCAGGGGGUCGUCGUGUCAGCAGCGACCGGUGAGGACACUCGUAUUACUGUAGAAGAAACUGCAUGUUUUCAUAGCAACAGCAGCAUGGCUAAACGCAAGUACGACAGCGAGUACAUUAAAUAUGGAUUUUCCUACAUCGAAGACAAAGGAGUCCAAAAGCCUCAGUGUAUUUUGUGUUGUGAGGUACUGGCAAGUGAAAGCAUGAAGCAUGAAUAAACUUUUCGAGCGGUUUAGCGACUACUUUCCCGAUAAACAACCCGAGGACGACUGGGUGCGCGACCCGUUUGGAAUAAACAUGGAAAGCAUCACGUUGCCUAGCAGCGAUGAAUGUCAGCUGGUGGAGCUAUCAUGUGACCGCACUCUCAGAAAGAAAUUCACAGAGAUACCCAAUGUGGAUUUGAUCUAUGGGUUGACAACAAAAUGACCAAGAGGCAGGAACUGUUGUUCUGUUUCCAUAGAGGUGAAAAAUGAGCCACAGUGAAGAAAAAAAACACCCAGAUCCACCUUGACGUUGAGGGCUGACGUCUUCGCCUGUGACUCUUUGCUCUGGGAGAUAUCUGGGAAGGUCACCAUCAGGUCAGGUAAAAAUCAGAGAGACCAAAACACCAGAGAGAACUUCAGGAGGAAGAAGAGGUCGAAGAAAUAGAAAACCGGAGGAGUGAGAAAGCAGACGAGGUGUCCUGAGGCAAAAACCUGCAGGAAAUGAAGUCAGCAGUCUCAGAAGGAUGUGAAAAGCAGCUGUGAGGCCAAAGAUCUUCAUUCCUUUCAAUGUGAAGUUCUCCGAGGACUGACUGGUCACUGUAAUUAAGCUCUGAUUGGACUCAGAUUCCAGCUUUUCUUGCCUCACAAGCAGCUGAACCUAUAAAAGCAACAGCAGAAGAAGAGAAAGACAUGAUUUAUAUUCAUGAUUUUUCAAUUAAAGGUUCACAGGAGUUGAAAUAAAAACAUGUAAGUGUGAACAAAAAAAGACAGGCUGGCUGGGAUAAGUGGAUUAAUAGGCUUUGUAGCAGUAAAUCCCAGCUUAAGAGUUUCCAUUAAUCACAUUCUGAGGUAAUGUUUUCAAACUAGAUAACGGCAAAAUAGGUUCUGUUUUCUGUCCUGGAUUGAGAGGAUUAAAGAGGAUGUUUGUACAGUAGCAUGCAGGAGAAUGCAGGGUGAAGCCGACACAGAUGGACUGCUGGGACUCUGAUGAAUCAUUCAUCUGGUUUGGAAACAGCAGAGAAGACCUACGAUGAAGAUCCACUUCAGCUGAAAUAUCUGAAAACUACCAGUGAGUCCACAUCAACAUUUAGUCACAACAUCUAAAAACUGGAACCUUGUCUGGUCAAACUUUCCACUCAUCAGAUUCUACUGAUGUUAGAACCUCAACAGUUGGUGAAAUGUGGACCAAAGAUUGUAUUUUAGUAGAAAUAUGGAUCCAUCCAUAUAUAUAUAUAUAUAUAUAUAUAGACACUUACAGGAACUUUAUGGAGACACUAUACCAGCAUGGAUUGAACAUUUUGUACUUUCCUUCUAUUUUUAGAGGUCAAUAGAAGACUGUAUUUUAGUAGAAAUAUGGAUCUA